rnacentral:tRNA from 1 species
GCAACGUUAGUACAUCGGUAGUACGCCAGCUUCCCAAGCUGGAUAGGUGGGUUCGACUCCCAUACGUUGCU